UGAAUAAAAUCAUGCAGUAUGCAGUGUUCAAGAAUAGUGGAAUGCCUGUGUGUUUGGCUCUAUUCUAGUGCCAAUUCUCCUCUUCAGCAGUGUUUUAAUUAAUGAAGAAAAAUUCAGCUCUUUUAAGGAGGUAGCUUCAUUCUGAGAUUCAGCAAGAUUUCAUUACAGGUUCUACUUGUACCAUGGACUCUUGCAAAUAAAGAUACCUUACAACACUAAUAUUACUAACAUUUUCCUCUCUGCACAAUCCUGCACAUCCCAGAAAGUGCAGGAACAUUCCGUGUUGCUUUGUUUAUACACAUUUAGCUUUUUGCUUCUCCUUUAGCAGUCCAUUUGUUCGUUGCACAAAUACUGCACACCUACCAGUGUAACAGGAUUGUGCUAAUAAGUUCAGGGUUAUAAUGGGGACAGGAUAGGCAUAGGUGCUGGCUUCAUGGAGUUUACAUUUUCAUUUUUGUCUUAUCAUUAUAGACUUAUGCUGCCUGUGAAUAUUUCACUGAUUCAAUUAAAUAUCCUCAUUUCCUAUCUCCUGUUAAAGAAUCUUUCUCAUUCGUCCAAAAUGCAGCGUGUCCAAAUCUCAGUGAAUGGUUUUAAUGCUUUGGGAGUGGCUGCAUUCCAUUAAAAUGAAAACCAAGCCAAACAAGUAAUACUUACAAGCAUGCACAUGAGAAUAUGUUAUGAGGAGGAAAAUCCUCAUAUUUAGCUACUUUCUUGCCAACUGGGGAAAUUUUUGGCAGAGCCGUAAGUUACCUUAAGAGUGAUUGAGGCUUCUAAAUAUGAGAUCUCAAAGGCUUCCAUUCACCUUAUUCUAUAGAAUGAGGCCCAGCCAUUUGAAUGAACUAGUUAAUCAAAUACCAUAUGCAUAGUCCAUGUUUUUCAAAAUAUUGGUCUUAUAUUAUUUAUAAAAACUGAUUCCAUGUUGGUUUUAUGGUAUAAAUUAGGCACUUUCCCUAUCUGUAAAUUGGCUGAACUAUUUGUAGUCUGGCUGAAAUGUAACUUGCCCAAACAUACAGAAAAUUCUAAAAUACGAUCUAAACUAUGUUAGUUAGAAAUCAAAGUUAGUUAAGAAACAUCCUGAGGUGAAAAUUUAAUUUUGAGUUAAAUUCUUUGUUAUCUAAUAGCCUUUAAAUUUUUGUUGUUGUUGUGAAUAGGUUUGCGUGUGAUAGUUUGCAGACAGGUCAGCCAGAUUUCUAAAAGUUUAUAAUAUAACAAACACAUACUAUUUUCUCUGUACUGGGCAUGUCUUAUGUCCUUCACAAAUAUUAACUAACGUAUCAUAAUAAACCUAAAAAAUAGAUAAUAUUAUUAGCCUCGUUGUAUAGAUGGUAGAACUGAGGCACAGAUGGUUGUUAUACCCCAAAGCCCCAAAGUUAGUUGAUAAGCAGCAGAGCCAGGCAGGAUUCAAAAAUCAGUCUAUCUGGCUCUUUGAGGCUAUGCUCUUAACCACUACACAUUGGUCCCAUAUUGUGGUUAAUCAAGUGCUUUUCCACAAAACACUACAAAGGCAUUGAACUGAGAUCUUCCCAUAAUUGAGAAAGCAGCAUGGAAAAGGAAAUAAUAUAUGGAAGUUUUUGGUAGGAGGAAAAUUGGACCUAGAGUCAGAAGAUUUGAGUUCUGGCAUUGCCAGUAUAAGCUUGGUAACUUUGGGGAGGUAACUAUAUUUCCUAUUGCUACUAUCAGAAAUUACCACAAAUUUAGUGGCAUAAAACACCAAUGUAUUCUCUUACAUUUUUGGAGGUGAGAAGUUUAAAGUCUAGGUGUUGGCAGGGCUGCCUUCUGGAAGCUUCAGGGGAGAAUCCAUUUCUUUGCCUUUUCCACCUUCUGGAGGUCGCCUGCAUUCAUUGGCUCAUUGUCCCUUCUAGCACCUUCAAAGUACAUCACUCUAAUCACUGGUUCCUUUGUUACAUCUUCUUUUCCUUUCUUUUACCCUUGGUGCUCUUUUGUAAGGUCCUUGUAACUACAGUGGGCUCACCAGAUAAUUCAAGAUAGUUUCCCCAUCUCAAAAUCCUUAAUUUAAACACAUAUGCAAAAUCCCUUUUGCCAUGUAAGAUAACAUAUGCAUAGGUCCUAAGGAUUAGGACUGGAGGGCCACCGUUCUGUCUACCACAGUUACUUUAUUUCUGUGGACCUCAGUUUCUUCAGUUUUAAAUGAAAGAGCUGAACUAAGCAAUCUUUGAGGAUCCUUCCAAUUCUGAGAACUCUGAAUUUUCUAAUCCUACCCUAAAAUUCUUAGUGCUAUCUAUCAGAAAUAGAGGCUUCACUGUUGAAAUUUUUUUUGCAAAUGUAAAAUAUUUUUCAUAUUGCAUUUUAAACUAAGAGUUUUCAGAUGAAAAAGUGAUACGGUAAAAAGUUUCUUUCUCCCUUUGUUAUUUUUAAGAUGUUCAGAUCUAUGAGAGGCUACAUUGUUGUAGCCAAAUUUGAGACCUACAGUCCUUGCAGAUUUUUAGCAAUACAUUGCAUGACUAGAACCUUUUUAUUGAAGAGCAAUACUAAAAUAUAAAUAAAGCUCUGGAUGUAAGUUAGGUUGCAUCUGGAUGUAAGUUACAAAAACUUCAAGAACUUCAAAUGAUUUAAACAGUAAGGACAUUUGUUAUCUGGUUAUUUCACAUAAUGAAGAUACUACGUCGGUAACAGUUUAAUACUAGCUUAGUGAUUUCAUUAAGAACUCAUAUUCCUUUCAUUGCUCUCCUGUGCCAUCUUUGCUCUUAGACUGGCUCCCUCAGGUUCACAAGAGGGCUGCAGUAUUUCCAUCACAUUCUAAACCAAUAUUAUGGAUAAGACAGAAGAAAGACCAUCUCUUGUGAGGCUUUGUUUUUUAGGAAUAAGGAAGCCUUUCCCAAAAGCCAUUUGACAGACUUCCUGGUUUUAUUGACCAGAAUUCUGUUACAUGCCCAUUUAAAAAUCAGUUGAAGGCAAAGUGAGUCGGAUAACCUACCAUGUUUAACUAGAUCCCAUAGUGUCCAAUAGGACUUUCUUUAGUGAUGGAAAAGUUCCGUAUCUGUGCUUCCAAUACAGUAGCUGUUAGCCACAUGUGGCAAUUCUUGAGCACUUGAAAUGUGCCUAGUGCAAUUAAAGAGCUGAGUUUUUGGAAUUAAUUUAAAUUUAAAUGAUCAUAUAUGGCCAGUGGAUACCACAUUUGGCCACAUACAACCAGAUCAGUCAUUUGAGACACAAUGGAUGCUGGGUAGUUGACUAACUACCGUGUUCAUUACAUCUUUAAUAAAAUAUCUUUUAUAAAACAGUGAACAGGUGAUGUAUUUGUCUUUGGAACCUCACUUCAAUUACUGACCCACUUGGGAGGUUCUUUUGGAGUCCAACAAAACAAAUACAUAAAACCAGUACACAUGUUUACAAGGGCUAACGGUGGCAGAAUAUUCUAGUUGAAGGGGUAAGGUGGGAAAUCAUGAUAUGCUAUCAUGUGCCAGCAUAUGCUGUGGUUCAACUUAUAAUGGAGGUUUGGGCUAGGAACUCUAAUGGAGAGAAACAGUCUGCUCUUCUCCAUUAGGAAGCUGGUAUGUUAUGCAAUGUUGUAAAUAGGGAAUGGCAACUCUUAUUAAUAGAAAAUGCCUGCCAAAAACUGCCUGUCUUGGAGAUUGUACAGCUAGGGAAAUACAUAGAUGGUAUCUGGGAGGAUCCAUCCAUUUAAUAAAUAUUUAUAAACCACAUGCUCUGUGCCAGGUACUGUUCUAGGUACUGAAAAGAUAGUAAACAAGACUAAGCCCCUGUCCUCAUAGAACUUUGUUGUUACAAAGAAAUAAGUAAUAUAUUUCAAAUUGUGAUAAGCCUUGAGAAGAAAAUAAGGCAAGAGAACAGGAUAGAGUGAAUGAAGUAAAUUUUAACAAAUGCCUAGAUCUGUGACUUUCUUGUCAAAAGCUCAGGGUUUUGAGUUUUUUCUGCUGGGAGAGGACAUUUGGUAUAUAGGCUUACUUAGGUUCACAGAAAAAAAAAAAAAAAGGACUGUGUUUGGAUUAACUAAUUGCCAAAAGAAAGAAAAAUUAAACCAGUUCCUGAGAAGUUAGUAUAUUUCUCUGCUGUUUUAAAAUUAAAUUAUGGUGAACCUUGCAUGGCCCAAUAUUAGUAUGAAGUUUAUUUCUAGCUUGAUUCAUGUUCCUCUGUAUUCGUUGCCUUAUCUGAAGAACUUUGGCUAUCUUAAGUAAACUUCUGGGCUCCAGUUUUCUUAAUCAUCCAAUGGAAUUAUUAAUAGUAAUUGCCAAUCAUGGGUUCUGGAAAGAUUGGUGCUAUCAAAAUAAUUAUAAAAUGUUUUAUAUAAAUUUGUAGGCCAAAGGAGAGAGGAAGCAUUUCUUAUUAAAAUUGAGCAAGUGAUUUAGCCUCUCUGGGUCUUAGUUUUUCCAGUGCUAAAACAAAGUAUUUGCAGUAUUGCCAGGAAUGUUAGAAAACAGAUCCUCUCAGUGCUGGUUCAAAUAGAAACUGGUACAGCCUUUCUGGUGAGCCAAUUGGCAGAAUAGUUACAGGUUCUUUAAAAUGUGCAUACCUUUUUGCCCCAAGGAACAAAAUUGAAUAGGUGUUCAAGUGUGUAUGUUUAAGGAUAUUUAUCAUACUAUUGUUUAUAAUGUCUAGAGAUAGUAAAAUGUUGAACGCUAGGAAUUUUGGUGCAUUCCAUGUGAAAUUCUAUGCAGCUACUUAAGAUGAUGAUAGUAUCAAUAGAUAUUAAUAGAAUUGGAAAGAAAGUCACAGUGUCCUACAUUUGUGGUCAUCUGUGAUUUUGUGGUCAUCUGUGAUGUGUGGUCAUCUGAGUAGAUUUUGAAUCUACUCAGUAAUUACUGAGUACUACACAUUAUACUAAUAGGCUUUGUUCAAAUAUUAUCUCCCUGAAGUUUCAUAUGAACCCAAGUAUGAAUAAUCUGGGACCUCCUUUUGCAGAUGAAGGAACCAAGGAUCAGAAGACUAAAGUAACUUGUCCAAAUCCUUCAAUUCAGAGGUGGCAGAGUCAGAAUUUAUACCUAGCCAAUUGACUUCAGCUACCACAGUCUGAAACCAUGGGUUAGACUGCCUCUGUGAACUCUCUACAUGGGCUAACCAUCACAGGUAUAGCGUGAAAACUUCCUCACAUCCUUUCCUGUCACUGCACUCCUACUUGAGAGUCCUUUGGCCUGGGUAUGUGGCAGAGGAAGGGGUGACUCACCCUUUAAUACAGAAGUCAGCAGACUCCAGCCCAUGGGCCAAAGCCGGCCUGCUGCCUGUUUUUGUCAGUCAAGUUUUACUGUAACACAGCCAUCCUUACUCAUUUAGGUCUUGCCUAUUGCUGCUUUUACACAGCAAGGCAGAAAUGAAUAGUUUUAAUAGAGACCAUAUGGCUCACAAAGCCUAAAAUUUGUAUUAUCUUGUCCUUUACAGAAAAAGUUUGCUAACCCCUGCCUUAAUAUAUUAGAAAUCUGGAAGGAUGUGUGCCUUAUUACAGUGACCACUUCUCUUUCCUUAAAGAGGCGAAUUUUUAAAACAAACCAGUGUUAAGGUUAUUGUCCUCCAGCAGUACAGGCCACAGGCAUACAGGCAGUUGCUGAAGGGUUUUCUGAGGAGGUGAACAAGAGCAGUCUAUUUCAGGACUACUGAAGGCCCUCUGUGCUUGGCUGACUGGCAGUCUCUGGGCCUUCCUUGCCUUGAAACUCUGCCUGUUGCUGCUCCUCGGAGAUGGAAUGUGUAUUCACAAACGAGGCACUCCAUUAGUCAUGGUGCAUUUCCUGGGCCCUGGAGACAUGGGCAUGACAUCACCAAUGGCCAAUGAGAAAGGAUCCUCUGUAGCGGGAGCCCUGAAACCUCUUUGGAGGACUAUAGGCUGUGUGUUCUGUUCCUAGCCCUCAGGGUACGAUUUGAGACUGUCUUCCUCAUCCAGCCAUAUUCUGGGCACAAAAGUCUAGCUUCCAGACCCAAGAGGCCAGGAUAAGCUUGAAAAUCUGCAGAGCUGGAGGCAGAUUCCCAUUUAGUAUUUUUUUCCAGGGCUCAGGUUUUUAUUCCCACAGAGUUUUCCACUCCUAAUGACGUUGUUACUUUAUGUGGUGAAGGGUGGGUGGUGAAAGAUGAAGUCUGCAUUAGAUAAAAGACACUUGGCAGUUAAAAUUUCUGGAUAAGUAUAGGUUGGUAGCAUAACAAAAUCAGAAGCAUAUUUUGCUGUUUUGUUACAUUGCUUUUGUGUGUAGUUUAACAUAAUAAAACAACAUCUUUUAACAGCAAAAGCUCCUAGCAAAAUUAGUGUGGCUUAGAAUAGGGGCAAUUACCAGAGGAACUUUACUGAGGGGAUUAGUAACUCAUUAAAUCUUUUACCUUCAAGAAGAAAAGAAUUUUUUUUUUCCAAUUCUUUUUUCUUAGGAUUGAAGCACUUUGGAUAAACCACUCCCCCCUCCCCUGCUUCCUAAUUUAUAUAUUUAUUUAUUUAUGAAAAUGAUUUGUGAAAGUUAGUCUCAGAUAACUUUGUUAAUUCGGUGUACCAGAAAUUUUAUUGAGAUCUUGUUUUAUAAUUGGUAGUAACUGCUCAAUUUUUUGCUAUCAACCCAUAAUUGUAAAACUCCCCCUUUAAAAAUUAUUCAGGGAAACGGAGGCUCAGGAUUUAAUGUGAGAUUAUACUGGACAGGCUUUUGCAGUUUAAUUCAGGAAUUGAACUCAAGAGCUGUGUUUUCCAGUCUUCAUAGGCAAUCUGUGGUUGAAUGUGAACGAUUCCUUUAGUACUUUUUCAUGUUUGAAUCUUUUGAUGAAGUCUAAGAGAAAUUGGGAAACAGAGCCAUUUUUGUUAGUAUAUUAUCCGUGGCUAUCAUAAACUGCAGAUGAUACCACUCCUAUGGUUUUUUAAAAAGAUUCCUUGUAAUUUCUUCAAGAUGAAGAUGAUUAUUUUUUUAUCAUUAUAGAGGCUUUUUUAUUUUAAAAAUCACUGGAAAGCACAUGAAUUCAUUCCUGUUUCCAAAGAACAAAUAUAUCAGUAAUUAAAAGAAUUUCCUCUAGAACUGUGUAAUCUACUGUAAAAAAGGAUACUUUUUAGCACUUCCGAGAUCCUCACUCAAAGUUAUCUAUGCAGUUCAAAAAAUUAAAAUUUCAAAACAUCUUGGAGAUAUUAACAGUUUUUUUUAGCUUUAAUAGAUGAGGAAACUAAGAUACAGAAAGAUGACAUCUCCAGCCUUAUGCUGUGCAUAGAACCAGAUAUUGGAAGCAUAAAUCAUUCUCGUCAAAAUCUUAAGAGGACAUUUCUCUGCACCUUUACGUAAAGUUGUUCUUGUUUUCCUUUGAUAGCUUCGUACUUUGCGUCAUUAACAACAGUGCUUGUUUUUUACAAUCAUUUGAUUGGGACAGGAGAGCAGAUUAGUCUAGCCUAGGCAGAACUGAACAGGGGUCAGUUAUCUAACAGGUGAAGGUGUGGGGUUGGGGCUCCAUGUGCUCUCCUGCCUCACUCCUGCAAAAGGACUUCAUUCUCCUUCAUGUCAUUUCCCAGUUUCUACCACUUGAACUAAUAUUUGCCACCUCCCAGAGGAUUAUCAUGAAUACUCAUGAGUUUAAUGUUGAUAAAGUGCUUGUAGCCUUUUGGAAGCGAGGUCUUAAAAUAAAAGAAAAGGGGCGCCUGGGUGGCUCAGUUGGUUAGGCGUCCGACUUCGGCCCAGGUCAUGAUCUCACGGUUCGUGAGUUCAAGCCCUGCAUCAGGCUCUGUGCUGACAGCUCAGAGCCUGGAGCCUGCUUCGGAUUCUGUGUCUCCCUCUCUCUCUGCCCCUGCCUAGCUCAUGCUCGCUCUCUCUCUGUGUCAAAAAUAAAUAAACUUAAAAAAAUUUUUUUUAAAUAAAAAAAUAAAAUAAAUUUUAAAACAUUAAAAAAAAAAAAGGUCUUUUGUAAGCACGUGGUUAGUAUUGGUCCCACUACCAGUGACAGAUUUCUUGACUGGUCAGUAGGCACUCUUGGAUGAGAUGAACCAUAUCCCUAUUGUGGUGAGGACAGAUUCUGGAGUGAGUCCACUGCUGCCUCGAAAGUAUAUGUCUGGUUUGAAAUGUUGAAGGCCAGGUGAUCCUUACAGCAGCUACACAGGAACAUCUCCUCAUUGCUGCUGUUUCCUGCUAAUUGGGUUGGGGGGGGGGGGCGCACAGCAGAUGCCUCCCUCAAAACCCUCUCCCAGUGUUUGGCAUGCCAUGCUGAUCAUCUUGGUAAACCCAGAAGAAAACUCCCGAAAGGCUAGUCCAGAAUGUGACAGCUGGAGGUCAUGACAGAUAAUCAGAUUGGUUUAUGAAAUGUUAAGGAUGAGUCAUGUCACUCCUAAACGGAUUGGCAUCAAUUUAUUACACAAAACCAAACACUGAAGGAAGAAAAGCCUUUAGUCUCAUUAAGGAACCCAGACAAAAAUCCCACUUAAUCCAUCGUGCUUUUCCUUUUCCUCCAACUCAGCUGGUGUGCAGGUGUAGGGCAGCUUGGCAGAAGCUGUGAACAUUUGGAAAAAGGAGUCAUUACUGAAAGUCACUGACACACACUUCCCUUGGAAUGCUGCUGAUGUCAUGGAAAACAGGGACCUUAGCAAUAACCCCUAACAACCAGAGCUACAGUAAAUAGUAAAUGUUACCUCCACCAAGGCAUUGGUUUUUAAAGAGUUUUAACAGGCCAGGGCUUGCCAGCCACAACUCAUAAAAAUGUUCUUAUAAUUUUACCCUACUCUCUAAAAGCACUGGAUAACUGCUGAAGUUUCUCUGCCACUUGAGGACACAAAGCCAAAUUUGUGUCAGUUUCAAGGUUCACUAAUCAAAAUUUACAGCACUUCUUUUCCAGUCCUCUUCAUCCCCCCUGCCAUGCUCAUGGAGUUUGGCCUGGUAAAUUUAAUACUUUUUCAAAGAAGUCUCUUGUCUUACUGAGUUGCCUGAAUUUCUGGUUAUGGGGUGAAUCUAUGUGCUAGGUUUUGGCCAGUGUUUUAUUAGCCUAGUGGUUAACCUAGUCUGGUUAAUUUGUAGCCCUUAAUCUAUAGGUUAUAUUCCAACCAAUUUGAAGCAGUUGGGCAAGAGUGACAUCCUAUAGUUCAAACUCUGAACAAGGUGCAUGGCAAAAGAACAAACGGCACAUGCUGUCAUACAGAACUGUCCAGAAUGGUUACUGUCAACAGUAUAAGAAAGCAAAAGAAGACACAGAACCAAGAGAUCAUAAGGAAUUUUCUCCCUCAAUUGGCUGUCUUUUAGGAGAAGAGGCUGGUGGGAUAUUACCAUGUAACAAACGCAGCAUGGCUUCUUUUAGACCUGUCCACACAGUGGGAAGAAGCAGAAUGCUUGUAUUCCUUUUGCGAGGCAUUGUCAGGGUGACUAUAUAAUUAUCAUCCAAACUAGAAUACUUUUGAGAGUGAAGGAUUGUACUAAUGAUUACUCUGGAGCAAUAGAACUAGACUGGGACUGCCUCAGGCAAAGGGGGCACAUGGUCCCCUCAUCAUUGUGCCAAUGCACACGCAGCCCAAGCCUUUUGAGGAGGCAGUCUUGACAAUGCCAGAGAAAGAAGACUCAUCAUGCAGUGUGGACUGUCUCACAAGAAAACAAGUCUAGUCUUAGAAUUAGUAGGCUAAGUAAUGAACUCUGUUACUGUAAGAUGUCCCUAAGUUAAAACCUCAAGUAAAGUAAGCUUGAAUUCACUCUUAAUUUACCCAGUUUUGAACAGUUUUGAACAUACUUUUUAUUACUAUUGACUAGUGGCUCUUAGAAUGAAGUCUGAGAUCCCUGGGGGUCUCAGGAGAUCUUUCAAGGAAUCUGUGGGGUCAACUGUUUUCAUCAUAAUAUUAACACAUUAUAUUUACCUUUUUCAUUCUCAUUUUCUCACAAGCAUACAGUGGAGUUGUCUAGAGGGCCUCUAAAGUAUAAUAUUAUAACAACUUGAAUGAAGAACCAGAUAUCAGACUCCAGCUCUCAUCUACGAAGCCAGACAUUAAAGGGAUUUGUAAGAAUGUACAAUGCCAUUCUUCUCACCAAAUUAUAUUGUUUUAGAAAAUAGUUAUUCUUAAUUAAAUCAUUAUUUAUGCUAAGAUGUCAUGGGUUUAUUAGUGUUUUUUUAAACAAAUUAACAAAUAAAUGCUUUAAAAAUUCAUCAGUUUUCAUUUCUAAGAUGGUAAACAUAUCCCCUAUAAAUAAAAACUGUGAAUCUUUAAUGGUAUUUAAGAGUGUGAAUGGGUCCCAAGAGCAAAAAGGUUUUAGAAAUGCUUCCCUAGACCUUUCUCAUUCCCUGGAAGGAACAUGCAGAUACAGUGAGAUGAUAAAUUUCCUGAUGAGAGAGACCAGUUUAUUCAUUGUUGCAUCUACUACAACACCUAGCAAGAUGCCUUGCAUGUUGUUAGUGCUCUGUGUAAACAUGAAGACAAAGCUCCCAGAACUCUGAAAUUUACCAGAUUCUCUUGUAUCUGGGUGUUACAUUAACAUUAUUGUUUGGUUUGUUUUAAGUCUUUGUCUUUUGCUAUGUAAUGUGUUCUAGUACUCUUUAUUAAAUAAUCUUAUUUUGACACAACUAUGAUGCCAUUUUUCAUUACCCAGCAUCUUGUUUCUGUAGCGUACAACUUUUAGAUCUUAUUCAUCAGCCUGUUGAUGCUAUUUCUUUUUCAAAGACAUAGUUAGCAUCCCCCAAUUUUUUGAUACUCUUUUUUAACUAUCAUGGCUUGCUGUAUCAAAGCAGCUGACUGUUGUUUCCUUCAAGAAUUAACUCAUCUUUCUGCAUUUAAGAUACCCUGCAAGUGUUUCUUCUUUCCAAGGAGAAUGAGUUCUAUAUUGAUGUGACUGCACGUCCCCCAUAGGGUUCCCCUGGGGCCCUUCACAAUAACUGUGUGUCUCUUCAGAAUGAUGUUGCCAUUUUCUGGAAUAUGUCGACAGUCUGAUUGUUGAGGAUAGUGUCCAUUCUCGCAGCAGAUGCAGCAAAGAGAGAUAUUACAUUUUUUACAAAUUGGAAGGUUUGUAACAACCCCACGUCAAGCAAGUCUAUUGGCACCAUUUUCCCAGCAGCAUUUUCUCACUUUGUGACUCUGUCAUAUUUUGUAUUCCACUGCAUGCAUAUACCACAAUUUGCUUAUCUGCUCACCUAUUGAUGGACAUUUUGGGAUCUUUCCAGUUUAUGGCAAUUACAAAUAAAGUCACUAUGAACAUUUGACUACAAAUAGUUGAAUGUAGGUAUGCUUUCUUUUCUUAUGAGUAAAUAACCGGGAGUAGAAUGGCUAGAUCAUAGGAUAGUGUGUGUUUAGCUUUGUAAGAAACUGCCAAACUGUCUUCCAAAGUGACCGUAUCAUUUUGCAUUCCCACCAGCAAUGAACUAGAGUUCCUGUUUUGUCACCAGUAUUUGAUGAUUUCAGUGCUUUGAAUUUCAGCCAUAGGUGUAUAGUGGUAUCUCAUUGUUUAAUUUGCAGUUCCCUAAUGACAUGAAGUUAAACAUCUUUUCAUAUAUUUAUCUGUCCUCUAUAUAUCUGCUUUUGUGAGGUGUCUAUUCAGAUCUUUUACCUAUUUUUAAAUCAGAUUAUUUUCAUACUGUUGAGUUUUAAGAGUCCCUUGACUAUUUUAGAUACAAGUCCUUUAUCCAAUAUGUGUUUCGCAGAUAUUCUUUCCCAGAUUGUGGUGUGUCUUUUCUUUCUUUUAAUAAGUGUCUUUUGCAGAGAAGUUUUUAACUAUAAUGAAGUCCAAGUUAACAAUUUUUUCUUUCAUGGAUAGUGCUUUUGGUGUUAUAUCAAAAAACUCAUUGCCAAGCCCAAAGUCACCUAGAUCUUCUCCUAUAUUUUAGAAGUUUUAUAGUUUUGUGUUUUAUAUUUAGUCUAUCAUUCAUCUUGAGUUAAUAUUGUGAAGGGUGUAAAGUCUGUGUCUAGAUUCAUUUUUUUUUUCAUGUGAAUGUCUAGUUUGUUCCAGUACCAUUUGUUGAAAAGUCUAUCCUACAUGAAAUUGCCUGUGCUCUUUUGUCAAAAUCCAGUUAACUAUAUUUAUGUGAGUCUAUUUCUGGGCUCUCUAUUCUGUUUCACUGGUGAAAUUAUCUAUUCUCUCACUGAUACCACACUGUUGUAUUACUGUAGCUUUAUAUUGUCUUGAAGCCUGAUAGUUUCA